AUUGAACGCUGGCGGAAUGCUUUACACAUGCAAGUCGAGCGGCAGCGCGGGGCAACCUGGCGGCGAGCGGCGAACGGGUGAGUAAUACAUCGGAACGUGCCCAGACGUGGGGGAUAACUACUCGAAAGAGUGGCUAAUACCGCAUACGAUCUAAGGAUGAAAGCGGGGGAUCGCAAGACCUCGCGCGUUUGGAGCGGCCGAUGGCAGAUUAGGUAGUUGGUGGGGUAAAGGCUUACCAAGCCCGCGAUCUGUAGCUGGUCUGAGAGGAUGAUCAGCCACACUGGGACUGAGACACGGCCCAGACUCCUACGGGAGGCAGCAGUGGGGAAUUUUGGACAAUGGAUGGAAAUCUGAUCCAGCCAUGCCGCGUGCAGGAAGAAGGUCCUAUGGAUUGUAAACUGCUUUAGUGCGGGAGCAAUAAGGUCCACGAGUGGACCGAUGAGAGUACCGCAAGAAUAAGCAUCGGCUAACGUCCGU
rnacentral:rRNA from 1 species